CUCUCCGGCGCUGUGCAGCGUGGCGCCGAGCCAUUGGCCGGACUUGUCGUCCGUCCGCUCCAGGUAUCGCCCCAGUGGAGCCUCGGUGGUUCCUGCGCGACAUCAGAAAGGAAAUGACGAUCGCUCACGUCACGAGGGAGAAAACCCGGGGCAGCAGAGGAAGCUUACGAGUAGCAGAAUAGCGUUUGGUCAGAAGAAGCGAAGCCGUUGGGACCACAGUAACGCUUCUGAGUCAUGCCACCAUCCUGUCGCGACCGGAGAACUCCAGGUGCCAAAAAUUGCCGGCGAGGUGCUGCUGGAACACCGCCCCCAUCGCCCGUCGGCCCAUAAAGCG